GAUCUCCAACUGUGUGUGUGCGUGUGUGUGUGAUGGGACCAGCCCCAAGAUUUAUGAUUUGACUUCAUUACAGUGUUUCAAUCCGCCUAAUAAACCAGAAUUUCAAGGAUCCUGAGUUGGACAUUUGUAGCCAACACAUGCAUGCUUCCAUAUGCUA